rnacentral:piRNA from 1 species
CUCUCAGUGAGAGUUGUGUCCUUUAGUCAGUC